AAUAAAAAAAAUUAAUUAGUAGAAAAUUAAAUGUUAAGUCAUUAAAUUUAUAAAAUUUGGCGGUAUUUUUUAAAAUUAGAGGAAUCUGUAAAUUAAUUGAUGAUCCACGAUAAGAAAUACUUAAUUUUAUUAUUUAUGUAUUGCUGUUUUAAAAAUUUUAUUAAGUAGAAUUUUUGAAUUAAAAUUUUAAUUUAAUUCAAGUCAAAAUAUAGUUUAUUUAAGUUUUUAUGGAUUACAAUUUUUAUUAAUAAUGAAUAAUUUAAUUUAAGUUAAAUUUAAAAUUGGAUUUAAUAGUAAAUUUAAUAAAUUAAUUAAUUUGAAGAAAAAUUUAAAAUAUGU
rnacentral:rRNA from 1 species